rnacentral:tRNA from 1 species
ACGGGUGUAGCUCAAUUUGGUAGAGCACCGGAUUCCAAAUCCGGCGGUUGGGGGUUCGAGUCCCUCCGCCCGUG